GUAAUAUUGAUGUAAUUUUAAUACAAACUGUUUAUUAAUUUGUUUGAAAACUUAUGUGGACAAAUAAAAUUAGUAUACAGAACAAAAAAAUAUGUUUCAAUACCAAAAAAAGUUCACUCCCUAAGCUUUUCUGUCUCUUAAGGAUAACAUCCUGGAUGAGGUCUCUCGAUGAUUCCCCCCACAUACAACAUAACCAUAUAAAAAAAAAAUCAUCAGCCAAGUGAAGCCUCGGGAACAGUAGUGUGAACCUUUGGAUCCUUGGCCUAUCGUCAAAUGAUCGACGACGGUCGAGUUGAUUGAUCCUACACAGUACACAACCUGAAUGUUUUCCCAUAGCAUCUCUGCUUCAUCUAUUCCUUGCUAGUAGGAUUGAUCCCAGAAAACCAUAAAUUUGUUUUAUAAAGAUUGAACGUUUGUCUAUAGAUUAAUUUUCAAUGGAUUAAACAUUGUAAAUUAAUGGUCUUAUGGAUUUUGUGAGUUUAGAUUAUCAAGGUUAGAACUGUGUAUUUUGAAAAGAAUAGGUGAUGCGUCAUCACAAU